rnacentral:rRNA from 1 species
AAUCAACGCUGGCGGCGUGCCCCAGACAUGCAAGUCGAACGAUUAAAGACUCUCUUCGGAGAGUGUAUAGAGUGGCGCACGGGUGAGUAACACGUAAGUAAUCUACCUUCGAGUGGGAAGUAACGUCCGGAACGGACGCUAAUACCGCAUAAUGCAGCGGCAUCGCAAGAUGACAGUUGUUAAAGAUUUAUCGCUUGAAGAGGAGCUUGCGGCAGAUUAGCUAGUUGGUAAGGUAAUGGCUUACCAAGGCUACGAUCUGUAACCGGUCUAAGAGGACGGUCGGUCACACUGACACUGAAUAACGGGUC